rnacentral:rRNA from 1 species
UACAGAGGGGGCAAGCGUUGUUCGGAAUUACUGGGCGUAAAGGGCGCGUAGGCGGCCUCUUAAGUCGAACGUGAAAUCCCCGGGCUCAACCCGGGAACUGCGUCCGAUACUGGGAGGCUUGAAUCCGGGAGAGGGAUGUGGAAUUCCAGGUGUAGCGGUGAAAUGCGUAGAUAUCUGGAGGAACACCGGUGGCGAAGGCGGCAUCCUGGACCGGCAUUGACGCUGAGGCGCGAAAGCCAGGGGAGCAAACGGGAUUAGAAACCCCCGUAGUCC